GUGAAGUUGAUCACAACAAACAUAUACCCCUUUGUUUGAACCGUGAAAAAUUUCUCCCAUCCCCUUUGUUCGUAUUUUUAUAGAAAAAUGCCCUGCCGCAGCGGGGCAUUUUUC
rnacentral:sRNA from 1 species